GCGAAAAUGAUUUAAAAGGCUGUAUGCAUGCCAGGUCAGUAGUUGGCGAUGUCACUUCGUCAAGAAACUCCCCAUGUGAACACAUAAUUAUCAGAUAAUUAUGCGCAGACAGUUUUUGUUGACAUGGAGAGAGACAGUAACGUUACUGAGUAAAGGCAUCGGAUUCAAACUCACUUUGAAAUCCGGUUUCAAAAGCUUAAGUUUAAACUCAAAAUUCCAGGACCAAAACACACUGUUGUCGUGUAAAUGAACAGCCAAAACGCAUAAAAAGUUUUCCAUUUUCAGUUGAAAACAGUGUCAUGGAAGUUACUUACAGAAUUUGAAAGCUAAUGUCAAAAUAAUGAAUAGAAACUGCCUAAAUUCAGCAGUUGGGCUAUGUGAAAUUCUAAUUUAACUUACUUUCAAAUUUCAUUUUAGUGACUGCUGCCACUCAUGGACACGUUUGUGAGAGGAAAAUUGUCUGAAUGGCAGCUUGAAAAUCUUAUAGACACCUUUAAAGCUGCUAAAGAGGAGACAGCUUUGAAGGUCCUGCCAACUCUGCUUCCCCCAUCCAUCUACAGGAGAGGAGGAAAGGUCUUCAGACCCACCACAGAGGAGGCCCAGAAGUCAUUUAUUGACAUGCAACCUGUUGGGACCAACAUGGUUGAAUAUUUAAACCAUGAGAUGACUGGAGCAUUGCUGCACAUUCUGUGCCUCAGUGAUGAGACAAGGGGGACAUCACAGACCUUUGCCAUUAUUCCAGGCCACGCCAUUGAGACUGUGUCUUUGUUGGAGGCAGUUGAUCUUUGCUUUAAAGCUUUUUUUGUUUUUGAUGUUCAGUACACCAAGCAGUGUCUCCCCACCUGGGAGUUUCUCCAGCAUGCUGUAUAUCAAAUUGAAGGAAAAAAGUCCUCCUCUGUAAAGUUUUUGAGGACAACAGUGGUCUCAGGCUCACAUGAUAUGUAGAUGAUUUUAAAAUGUAUUUUGUUGCUGUUCUUAAAUCAACACAUCUUAAUAAAUUAAAUUGUAAUCGUAUGAGAGUUCAAAUUAGUUGUUUAAUGACUUUUAAUGCCUGAAUAUUUGGACAGAUUUACAUUUGUUAUAAAGUCUGUGGGGAAGGGUGAAUGUCAGAGGGUGUG
ensembl:lncRNA